GCAUCCUGUUCAUUCUUCACAAGAAUAUCCUGUUCAUGACAAUACUCCAGAUAAGGAUUUCAAAGGAGAAUACCAGGUUACUUACAAACGUAGAGGAGACCGGGAAGAAAGUGAAAGUGAAGAGGAAGUGCCAGAGGUCAAAGAGAAAAGACAAAAACUAGAAGACGUUCAUGAAAAUACUGGACCAGCUGGAGCUUUUGACAACAGACAGUUUGCUCGGCUUUAGAUCCUGUAUAAAGCCAGAGGCAGCAAACUCGAGGAGAUCACUUGAGACUUUGAACAGUACAAGCAGGAGAUAAGCAGGGAGAUCAGGAUUUAUAAACAUCAAAUCUCUCUGGCCAAAGGUGAGAAGGAGGGAACCUCCACCAGUCUCAAACAAUGUCAGGAUCUUCUGAUGGAAGCCAAGACAGAGAAUGCCCAGUUGAAGGGGAAACUCCAGGCCACAGAAAGUCAGGUAGAGGCCCUUCAAAGGGGGAAAGAGGAGGCAGUUAAAAGCCUGCAGACUGCUGAGUCCACAAUAGAGACUUUGAACCAACAGCUUGCUGAGAUGGGGGCAUCAGACAGUCUCAACAGAGCUCGAGUUGAGCAUGAGUGAGUUUUGUCAGGAGUCCAUCAGAAACAUGACAAGGAGGUCAAAGUUCUCAAAGAGAAGAUAGACGAUCUCACAGAUAAACUUAAUGAUCUGAAUGCAGAGAACUCAACAUUGAGACAGAAACUGAACGAGAGUUAUAAAGAGGCCGAAAACUCA